rnacentral:rRNA from 1 species
AGCGUAGGUGGCCUAACAUGUCAACUGUGAAAACCCGGAGCUCAACUCCGGACCUGCAGUUGAAACUGGUAGGCUUGAGGACGGUAGAGGAAGACGGAACUGCCAGUGUAGGGGUAAAAUCCUUAGAUAUUGGCAGGAACGCCGGUGACGAAGGUGGUUUUCUGGGCCGGUUCUGACACUGAUGCUCGAAAGCCAGGGGGAGCGAACG